UGUGUGUGUGUGUGUGUGUGUGUGUGUGUGUGUGUGUGUGUGUCCUUUUUAGAAAUGCUUGUUGUUGAGGAGGCGGCGACAGGUGUGGAAGAGCUCCUUCUGGGUAAUCAGUGGGAGCAGAUGUGCGGAGCCGAUCAGUCACUCCCCCCCGCACUACUUAAUCGGGCUCCACUCUUCUGUCGACGCCGGAUCGUAAAAGCUGCUCUCAGGACUGCCUUCCGGUAGAGAUCACCCGACCCCCCUGGAUGUGGACUCACCCGGUUCAUCUUCUACCUUCACCUCAGCCAUCCUUCGCCCAGCUCCGGCUUAACCCUCACCAGUCGUCUCCGCAGCCGAGGCGAUUCCACAAGCAUCUACUCUGCGCGAUUCAAAGUAAUAGAAGAGUCGGAGAAAGCUGAGAGUGGCGAGUCGGAACACUCAGGAGACACACAGGAGAGUUUGGGAGGCGAUACAGCAGUAUCAAGUCGAAGACAAGAGGAUAUGAACGAGACGACAUAUGAGGGUGGCUCUCUUAUGAGACUUCAUGGGAUUUACCUGAAGCAGCAGCACAUGAGCCUGCAGUGGCACAAGGUGUAGAGGAGGAGGACAGAUGUACAGGAUGCGCUUGAUACACUACGUGUCAUGCAGAAGUUAAAAGUUAUUCUCCUCGCUAUACUUCUGUUUUUCUGUCCCCAGACCGCUAUUGUUUUCUUUAAUACAAUUCUGACAAUAAACUUUUGUACC
ensembl:lncRNA